rnacentral:lncRNA from 1 species
CCGUGUACGAUGUGCCAGAAACUGUGUAGUUAGAAAUUUAUAAAGAUACUUUAUUUAAAUAUUACAACUCUUUCUUGAGAUGUUGAUCAGUUUAGAGUCAACCUCAUAAGAAGUGGAACCGGGAUGCAUAUCCAACAUUCUUGAAUUUGAUUAGUGCACCCUAUGCCCAUCUCCUGGAGCUGGGAGCUGACUCCAUGGCUUCACAAAGUCCAAGAAAUGGGCAGAUGCAUUACCCAGAGAUCUUAUGGUGGCACAGAGGUGGCGCUGAAUCGCCGUGAUGCCUCAUUAUUUUAAUGACCAGUCUUAGCUCACCAUGUGUAGAUGAUUUAUGAAAUGGUCUUUUGUCCCACAUAUGUCUGGUGAGAAAUAUAGAUGAAAGACAGGACAUAUUUUUUUUCCGUAUAUCAUUAAGGCUAUCAUCACUAAAGUUUUUUAAACAAGUAUAUCAGCUACCAUUUACUCACAAUGUGAACUGGACUCUAUGCUAAGCACUUUUCAGAAUUCACUCUUUAUAAUGGCCCUAUGGGGUAAGUGCUAUUAUUGUCUCUAUUUUCUAGGUAAGAGACAAAAAUGCUGUGGAAUUGGUUCACGCUCAUACAGCUAGUAAGCAGCAGAGGCUGGAACGUCUGUUUGACUCCAAAGUCCACUGGAGUCCUACAUACGACAAGCCCAAUUCUCCUUCCUCCAUGUCCUUCGAAGUCCUUAAAUGUCCAUUUAACUUAAGGUGAGGAGACCUUAUCUUGUUGCAGACAAGAGUUGUGCUGGAUUUUACAUGUAUGUGAUAGAAUCUAUACUAAACUGUGUCAUUUUUAAGAUAUUCCAGGAAGAGCUUCUUCAGUUAUCAGUGAACGCUUAACUAUGAGAGGACAUGGAUAAUGAUUACACAUAAUAAUUUUCACUUCAUCUAUUAAGGCUUCUCAUAUCCGGGCCCAGGAACAUUUGGCCCCCCACCAACAUAUCAUACACAUUGCAAAUCUUACGCUAAUAGAUGAUUAGUCCAAUGCUCCAAGUAAGAAAACUUAAACUUGCCUGCUAAGGAGAAAUAUUUAAACUUUUUUACCCACUUUCCACUGAACAACAACUGUUUGGAGAUAAUUCUCCAUGAGGUCUCUCGAAUUUCUGCACGUCUUGUGACUAGAAGCACAGGCUAGCUUUGUUCUGAAAUAUCUUUUUAAGGAUGUUUGUGCAGAGAUCAGCACUGGAAGACAGAGAUCAUAUCUCCCUCUGAAGCAAAGAGCAGGCAUGCUUACUGCCCUUUAUAAAAUAUUGGGCUUCCUUAAGUUCAGGAUUCCUCUCUUAUAAAGGAACUCACUGCAUGUAGGGGUGUUACCUG